UAUGAAGGGGGCUAGCGUUGUUCGGAAUCACUGGGCGUAAAGCGCACGUAGGCGGACUGUUAAGUCAGGGGUGAAAUCCUGGGGCUCAACCCCAGAACUGCCUUUGAUACUGGCGGUCUUGAGUGUGGAAGAGGUUGGUGGAACUCCGAGUGUAGAGGUGAAAUUCGUAGAUAUUCGGAAGAACACCAGUGGCGAAGGCGGCCCAAACUGGUCCACUACGUGACGCUGAGGCGCGAAGGCCAGGGGAGCAAAGCGGG
rnacentral:rRNA from 1 species